rnacentral:rRNA from 1 species
CCUACGGGUGGCAGCAGUGAGGAAUAUUGGUCAAUGGACGCAAGUCUGAACCAGCCAUGCCGCGUGCAGGAAGACGGCUCUAUGAGUUGUAAACUGCUUUUGUACGAGGGUAAACGCAGAUACGCGUAUCUGUCUGAAAGUAUCGUACGAAUAAGGAUCGGCUAACUCCGUGCCAGCAGCCGCGGUAAUACGGAGGAUUCAAGCGUUAUCCGGAUUUAUUGGGUUUAAAGGGUGCGUAGGCGGUCGGAUAAGUUAGAGGUGAAAUCCCGAGGCUCAACUUCGGAAGUGCCUCUGAUACUGUUCGGCUAGAGAGUAGUUGCGGUAGGCGGAAUGCAUGGUGUAGCGGUGAAAUGCUUAGAGAUCAUACAGAACACCGAUUGCGAAGGCAGCUUACCAAGCUACUUCUGACGUUGAGGCACGAAAGCGUGGGGAGCGAACAGGAUUAGAUACCCGUGUAGUC